GUGGGGCAUAUUGGGCAAUGGGCGCAAGCCUGACCCAGCAACGCCGCGUGAAGGAAGAAGGCUUUCGGGUUGUAAACUUCUUUGACAGGGGACGAAACAAAUGACGGUACCCUGAAAACAAGCCACGGCUAACUACGUGCCAGCAGCCGCGGUAAUACGUAGGUGGCAAGCGUUGUCCGGAUUUACUGGGUGUAAAGGGCGUGUAGGCGGGAUUACAAGUCAGAUGUGAAAUCUCUCGGCUUAACCGUGAGUCUGCAUUUGGAACUGUAGUUCUUGAGUGAGGGAGAGGGAGGCGGAAUUCCGUGUGUAGCGGUGAGAUGCGUAGAUAUAAGGAGGAACACCAGUGGCGAAGGCGGCCUGCUGGACAUUAACUGACGCUGAGGUGCGAAAGCGUGGGGCGCAAACAGGAUUAGAAACCCUGGUAGUCC
rnacentral:rRNA from 1 species